GAGUAGCAGAUUUAGUAUCUAGUUUGUGUUUGCCCCUUCCGCAACCAAUUCUUAUCCCGUGCAACUGAAUAAGAGUUCUUCUCUCCUUCGGUUAUCCUUAAGCUUUUUUAAUAUGAGAUUAAAUCUUUCUCCUUACCUAUAUGUUUUAUAUGGAGUUAGUUUCUCGGAUGUAAGAGAUGCUUGAGAUGUUGGAUUUACCUUAGUCAACCUUGGAUUGAUUCAGCAAAAAUGGCAUCUUUGGAUGGUCCAAUAUGGGAUCUAUUUUAAGCUGACGGAGCUUUCCCAGAUUUAAUUAUCGGCAUUGUCGGAGUCUCUUGUUCAAGUACAUGGUUAU
rnacentral:lncRNA from 1 species